rnacentral:misc_RNA from 1 species
UGGUAAUGCAGGAGCUUGACGUAAUUUAACUUUAUUUUGGAUGGAAACAAGGACGGAUAUAGUUGAUGAUGAUGAUGACUUUACUGAAAUUUACAAGGAAUACACUGGUCCUCCAGGAUCUACUACCAAUAAUGCACAAGAUAGGUCAAAAGCAAAUAAAAGGUCCCACGCCGGCUCUGAUGAGGAAGAGGAACCUCGGGACCCAAAUGCUGUGCCGACUGAUUUCACUAGCCGAGAAGCUAAGGUUUGGGAAGCUAAAUCAAAAGCUACGGAGCGGAAUUGGAAGAAAAGGAAAGAAGAAGAAAUGAUUUGCAAAAUAUGUGGAGAAUCAGGCCACUUUACUCAGGGAUGCCCCUCCACUCUUGGAGCAAAUCGCAAGUCUCAAGAUUUCUUUGAAAGGAUUCCUGCAAGAGAAAGGCAGGCAUGUAAAAGCCCUAUUCGCUGAGAGAGUGAUACAGAGGAUUGAAAAGGACAUUGGCUGCAAAAUUAAAAUGGAGGAGAAAUUUAUAAUUGUUAGUGGCAAGGAUAGGUUAAUUUUAGCAAAAGGUGUUGAUGCUGUGCACAAGGUCAUUAAAGGGGAGGUUGAUCAGAAGGGUUCUUCUAGUUCCCACAAGAGCAGAUCUAGGUCACCUGAGCGAAGUCCUGUUGGAUCACGAUUGCGACGCUCUGAAUCCCAGAGGUCUUAUACAGGUCACUCGCGAGAUACUUCACAGUAUCAACAAAGGUUUGGUAGACAAGAUAAGAUUGUGGAAGAUCGCGUUCGUGAGGAUCUUGCAGAAGUUUUCUAGGGGUUCUCCACAAGCUUAUGGUAAUGAUGGUGGUAGAAGUCGUUCAAGCCAUUCUAAAUCUCCUGCACUUCCCCCUUAUGCUGGCAACUCAUAUGGUUCAUAUGAUGGUCACAAUCACAGUGUGGGUGGUUAUAGAAAUGAUGGGUGGGAUACUGAGAGACAGGGACCUGAUUUGCAAUCUGGCCGUCAAUUUGAAAACUCGACCUUUCCUCAGAUGUUGGAAGAGCUAGAGUUGGAGUAUAAGAGGGAGGCCAUGGAACUUGGCAGAAUUCGUGAUAAGGAAGAAGAUGAAGAGAAUUAUAAGCAUCGUGAGACCAUCAGGGAGAUGAGAGAGAAUUAUAUGAAAAAACUGACUUUGCUGAGGAGCACACUUACAAGAAAGUGGGAGGAAUUUCUUCAACUUGAUGCUCAAAGGCGUCAACAGCAGGCACGGCAGCAAAUGCCCACAUCAGGUUUUGGUGGUUAUAAGCAGCACACUUUUUCUGACUAUGAUGGCUCCUCCACCAAUCCUCACUAUCCUGGGGCCGGUUUACCAAUGGAUUUGGGGGCCAGAUACCCAAAUCAUGUUGAAAAUUAUGCUUCAAGGCCUCAUGACAGUUAUGGUGAGUUCCAGCGUCAGAGGCGUGAAGAUUUUGGGAAAGCUUACAAUCAAUACUAAAUUCGUGUACUGAAAAUGAUUUUGGGUCCAGAUCAUGGUCAGUUAUGAGUA